GAAAAAUAAAUGUAUAUCCAUAUGGAAUCCCACUAAACAUCAAUAAAAAGAAAUCAUGGAUGAAACUUGGAGACCUUUUGGGAAUUCAAGCCAUUUAGAAAGAUACCACCUGUUGUAUAAUACCAUUUUUUUGUGUAAAGUUUAAAAUAUGCAAAUUUAUUUAUUUAAUUUUUGGGGAAUAAAACCUAGGGUGCCUAAAAACUGAGUUACAACCGUAGCCUGUUUUGUUUUAAUGCUUUUUAAGAUAAAAAGUCAUAGUUGGGUACAAUAACUUUCUUUUAUUUUCAUGUGGUGAUGAGACUCAAACCAAGUGCCUCACAUGUGCUAGGCAAGCACUCUACUACUGAGCUACAACCACAUCCUCACCUUUUGAGAGAGCGACUCAUUUGCUGUGGGACUUGCCCAACUCACUUAGGGAUGAAGUGAAGCGUGUGCCUCGAAUGUGUAAACCAAAAGAAUUGGACUGGAGUAACCUCAUUCCAUCCUAGUACACUGGUGGUCUCAUUGAUAUGUUGGCUCUGGUGAAAUCUCCAUUGCAAUGUUUCCACAUCUCUCCCCACUGGAGCCAUACCAUCCAGUUCAUCAUCAAAUUCUGCAAACUGGGAAAACUCUCUCCGAUGGUGUUCUGGAAAUGCCCAAUGAGCAUCAUCACAGAGGAGCCAAUCAGCUGGAAGUUUUCUGGGGCCACUUCGGCUGCGGCUCUCAACACACCAGCAUUAGAAGUCUGCAGAGAUCACUAAGAUAAAAUAGUGCAGUGUGCUGCAGAGUGGAUCAUUCACAGGAUCAGAAGAGACGAGAUCAGAAGAGAAGAGAUGUCUUGCACAUUACCGAAAGCUAGGAAUAGGAACUAAAAUGUUAAAUAAUGCCUUAAAGAUCUGUGGAAAAGAUGGCACUUAUUUUGACGGGGGGAGUACUGGGCAUUGAACUCAGGCACUGGACCACUGAGCCACAUCCCCAGCCCUAUUUCGUAUUUUAUAUAGAGACAGG